rnacentral:rRNA from 1 species
CAGUAGCCGCGGGAAUACGGAGGGGGCUAGCGUUGUUCGGAAUUACAGGGCGUAAAGCGCACGUAGGCGGCUUGGUAAGUUAGAGGUGAAAGCCCAGGGCUCAACCCUGGAAUUGCCUUUAAGACUGCCGAGCUAGCAGGUGAGAGAGGUGAGUGGAAUUCCGAGUGUAGAGGUGAAAUUCGUAGAUAUUCGGAAGAACACCAGUGGCGAAGGCGGCUCACUGGCUCAUUCUAGACGCUGAGGUGCGAAAGCGUGGGGAGCAAACAGGAUUAGAUACCCGCGUAGUCCCUGUCUCUUAUAC